GACGAACGCUGGCGGCGUGCCUAACACAUGCAAGUCGAACGCUGACGGAGGAGCUUGCUUCUCCGGAGGAGUUGCGAACGGGUGAGUAACGCGUAGGUAACCUGCCUGGGAGCGGGGUAUAACUUAUGGAAGCGAUAGCUAAUACCGCAUAACAGUAGAUGUUGCAUGACAUUCGCGUAAAAGGUGCAAUUGCAUCACUACCAGAUGCACCUGCGUUUUAUUAGCUAGUUGGGGAGGUAACGGCUCACCAGCGCGACGAUACAUAAGCGACCUGAGAGGGUGAGCGGCCAAACUGGGACGGGAGCACGGCCCAGACUCCUACGGGUGGGAGCCGGAGGGGACCCUUGGCAAAGGACGGAAGGCUGAAUGAGGAACGACGGGGGAGUGAAGGAGGGAUUCGGGUCGGGAAAGUCAGUUGGAAGAGAAGGACGAGUAGCAGAGUGAAAAGUUCACAUUGUGACGGUACCUGAAGAGUAAGCGACGGCUAACUACGUG
rnacentral:rRNA from 1 species